rnacentral:piRNA from 1 species
UAGUCCUAGAUGGCCCUUGCUAAAUUGCAUC